CAUGAACUUGACACCAUUUUGCUGCAUUACAUGGGACACCAGGAUGAUUGCACGAAUCUGGCAGGGAACACUGAAGUCAUACUCUGCUAGUUAAAAUAAAAAUAAUGUGUCCAAUAUCAUAGGAGAAUUUGGGUAUCAUGCUAGAUGGGAACUAGCCAUCUGGAAGUGAGAUCAUGUCACUAACAGUGCUGAUCACAAUGGCUAACAGGCAUUACAAGUCUAAAGGGAUGCAAUACAAAAAGUAAGCCUAUAUAUAGCACAUUAGAUGAAAACUAGUAUGUGCAUAGGAGGUUUGCCUGUAAAGAGCCCCAUAUUUGUUAAGUAUAUUUAACUAUUGGCACUUACCUGCUACCAUAUCUGUAGUUCACUCAGAGCCCCGCCC
rnacentral:lncRNA from 1 species